CGAGGGGUAACAGGAUUUANUUUACUAGAUUGCUGACGACCGGCGCACGGGUGAGUAACGCGUAUACAAUUUACCUUUUACAGGGGGAUAGCCUUUAGAAAUGAAGAUUAAUACCCCAUGGUAUUAUAGAGUGGCAUCACUUUAUGAUUAAAGCUUCGGCGGUAAGAGAUGAGUAUGCGUCCUAUUAGCUAGAUGGUAAGGUAACGGCUUACCAUGGCGACGAUAGGUAGGGGUCCUGAGAGGGAGAUCCCCCACACUGGUACUGAGACACGGACCAGACUCCUACGGGAGGCAGCAGUGAGGAAUAUUGGUCGAUGGAGGCAACUCUGAACCAGCCAUGCCGCGUGCAGGAAGACGGUCCUAUGGAUUGNAACUGCUUUUAUANAGGGAGAAACCCGGUUAC
rnacentral:rRNA from 1 species